rnacentral:rRNA from 1 species
UACGUAGGGUGCAAGCGUUGUCCGGAAUUAUUGGGCGUAAAGAGCUCGUAGGCGGUCUGUCGCGUCGGCUGUGAAAACCCGAGGCUCAACCUCGGGCCUGCAGUCGAUACGGGCAAACUAGAGUACUGCAGGGGAGACUGGAAUUCCUGGUGUAGCGGUGAAAUGCGCAGAUAUCAGGAGGAACACCGGUGGCGAAGGCGGGUCUCUGGGCCUGUACUGACGCUGAGGAGCGAAAGCGUGGGGAGCGAACAGG